AGUAUCCGGCAUGCAUAGAUGUAAAGAAUUCAGGUAUGCACCGCAUAGAAAGAUGGAAGAGAUGCAUAUAAAGUUAGAAAGAAAUUUUAGGAAGGCGAGAGAGGCUCCGGAACCUUAAGUAUAACGCCGGAGCCUCCCACGUCUUGAAGGAGGAGGUCUAAUGUCUAAUGGCGGCCUCGUUCUUCUUCGACCUGGCGAGGCCGCCAAAUCCUUACUAGUGGAGGCUUGGGUCGCCCUUCUUGUCCUCCUCGACUUUAUCAACUGCUGGAUGAUCGAUCGAUAAGCAGUGAAGCGAAGUGUCACAGCUGAUCGGAUAUCGAUCUAGUACAAACAGUGACUAUCUAUAGUCACUGGUACAAAACUAGUACGAGACCGAAACAAUAUAACAAACUUGUAUUCACUUCAUACACCCUCUCAAAUAAAUCAUUUUAAAAAAGCA